rnacentral:piRNA from 1 species
UCCAUAUAAUGAUACAUUUUAGAAUGAGC